GAUGAACGCUGGCGGCGUGCCUAAUACAUGCAAGUCGAGCGAACAGACGAGGAGCUUGCUCCUCUGACGUUAGCGGCGGACGGGUGAGUAACACGUGGAUAACCUACCUAUAAGACUGGGAUAACUUCGGGAAACGGGCGAAAAUACCGGAGAAUAUCUUGAACCGCAGGGUGGAAUAGUGAAAGACGGUUUUGCUGUAACUUAUAGAUGGAUCCGCGCCGCAUUAGCUAGUUGGUAAGGUAACGGCUUACCAAGGCAACGAUGCGUAGCCGACCUGAUGGGGUGGUCGGCCACACUGGAACUGAGACACGGUCCAGACUCCUACGGGAGGCCGCAGUAGGGAAUCUGCCGCAGUGGGCGAAAGCCUUACGGAGCAACGCCGCGUGAGUGAUGAAGGUCUUCGGAUCGUAAAACUCUGUUACUAGGGAAAAACAACUUUGUAAGUAACUAUGCACGGCUUGACGGUACCUAAUCAGAAAGCCCCGGCUAAUUACGUG
rnacentral:rRNA from 1 species